ensembl:snRNA U1 U1 spliceosomal RNA
AUACUUACCUUGCAGAUGAGAUGCCAUGAUCACCAAAGUGAUGUUCUCAAGAGGUUCAUCCACUGCACUCCAGAUUUGCAGAUCCCUGUAAUUUGCCAAAUGUGAGAAAUCCAACUAUAACUUGAGGGAUGUGUUUUCACCUCCCCCCCC